rnacentral:rRNA from 1 species
AGNUGUGGGAGGUAUCGACCCCUUNCCGCGCCGUAGCUAACGCAUUAAAUGAGCCGCCUGGGGAGUACGNCCGCAAGGUUGAAACUCAAAGGAAUUGACCGGGGGCCCCGCACAAGCGGUGGAGCAUGUGGUUUAAUUCGACGCAACGCGAAGAACCUUACCUGGGCUUGAACUACUGGUAGUAAGUCUUUGGAAACAUCGACUGAUCCGCAAGGAAGCCAGCAGAGGUGCUGCAUGGUUGUCGUCAGCUCGUGUCGUGAGAUGUUGGGUUAAGUCCCGCAACGAGCGCAACCCCUAUCUCAUGUUGCUAAUCCCGCAAGGGAUGCACUUUUGAGAAACUGCCUUCGAUAAGAAGGAGGAAGGUGGGGACGACGUCAAAUCCUCAUGGCCCUUAUGUCCAGGGCUACACACGUGCUACAAUGGCCGGUACAACGGGAAGCAAUACCGCAAGGUGGAGCAAAANCCCUGAAAGCCGGCCCCAGUUCAGAUCGUGGGCUGCAACUCGCCCACGUGAAGGCGGAAUCGCUAGUAAUCGCGAAUCAGCAGGUCGCGGUGAAUACGUUCCCGGGCCUUGUACACACCGCCCGUCACACCACGAAAGCCCGCUGCAACAGAAAUCGGUGAUCUAACCCGCAAGGGAGGAAGCCGCUGAAGUUGUGGUUGGUGAUUGGGGUGAAGUCGUAANCAAGGUACC